AUUGAACGCUAGCGGGAUGCUUUACACAUGCAAGUCGAACGGCAGCGCGGACUUCGGUCUGGCGGCGAGUGGCGAACGGGUGAGUAAUGUAUCGGAACGUGCCCAGUAGCGGGGGAUAACUACGCGAAAGCGUAGCUAAUACCGCAUACACCCUACGGGGGAAAGCAGGGGAUCGUAAGACCUUGCACUAUUGGAGCGGCCGAUAUCGGAUUAGCUAGUUGGUGAGGUAACGGCUCACCAAGGCGACGAUCCGUAGCUGGUUUGAGAGGACGACCAGCCACACUGGGACUGAGACACGGCCCAGACUCCUACGGGAGGCAGCAGUGGGGAAUUUUGGACAAUGGGGGCAACCCUGAUCCAGCCAUCCCGCGUGUGCGAUGAAGGCCUUCGGGUUGUAAAGCACUUUUGGCAGGAAAGAAACGUCGCGGGCUAAUACCCCGUGGAACUGACGGUACCUGCAGAAUAAGCACCGGCUAACUACGUG
rnacentral:rRNA from 1 species